UGAAGACAGAUUGGACACAAGCACCCUUCACCGCCUCCUUCAGAAACUUCAAAACCAAAGCUUGUAUUUGGUUUAAAGGAGCAUCUUCUUGCAGUAACUCCACUAAUAACCAAUGGUUCUCACAAGAGCUUGAUUCCAUAAGUCACAAGCAGCUAAAAUGGGUUCAGAAAAAUUAUAUGAUCUACAACUACUGUAAAGACACUAAGAGAUUCUCUCAGGGCCUUCCUCAGGAAUGCACUGUCAUCAACAAGAAUUAGGAAUUCAGGACUUGGAUAUAUGGAUCAAUGGCUCCAGAGUUUUGUUUGUUCUAGUAACUUUGAUUCUACAUUCUUUAUCUGACAAGAUUGUACCAAUAAUACGAGGAAAAUAUUUUCUUGUAGUCCAUGAUGUAUGUAAAUAAAUUUCCAUAAAUAAAAAUGUUUUGUUGGUGUGUUCUC
rnacentral:misc_RNA from 1 species